GGGAUAAUGGUCUAGUGGUAUGAUUCUCGCUUUGGGUGCGAGAGGUCCGGGGUUCGAUUCCCUGUUGUCCCC